rnacentral:rRNA from 1 species
CCUAGGGGUGGCAGCAGUGGGGGAUAUUGCACAAUGGGGGGAACCCUGAUGCAGCGACGCCGCGUGGGUGAAGAAGCGCCUCGGCGCGUAAAGCCCUGUCAGCAGGGAAGAAAAUGACGGUACCUGAAGAAGAAGCCCCGGCUAACUACGUGCCAGCAGCCGCGGUAAUACGUAGAGGGCAAGCGUUAUCCGGAUUUACUGGGUGUAAAGGGGGCGCAGACGGCGAUGCAAGCCAGGAGUGAAAGCCCGGGGCUCAACCAUGGGACUGCUUUUGAAACUGUCAAACUAGAGUACGGGAGAGGUAAGAGGAAUUCCUAGUGUAGCGGUGAAAGGCGUAGAUAUUAGGAGGAACACCAGUGGCGAAGGCGUCUUACUGGACCGAAACUGACGUUGAGGCUCGAAAGCGUGGGGAGCAAACAGGAUUAGAUACCCGAGUAGUC